rnacentral:rRNA from 1 species
GCCUGUGGUCGUACCACCCUGAAUGUGCCUGAUCUCAUCUGCUUUCAGAAACUAAACAGGGUCAGGCCUGGUUAGUAAUUGGAUGGGAGAAAUGCAGUCUCAGGACCCACUGUGGACU